rnacentral:rRNA from 1 species
AGUGGCGGACGGGUGAGUAACGCGUGAGAAUCUGCCUUGGGGUCGGGGACAACCACUGGAAACGGUGGCUAAUACCGGAUACGCCUUCGGGUAAAAGAUUUAUUGCCCUAAGAGGAGCUCGCGUCUGAUUAGCUAGUUGGUGAGGUAAGAGCUCACCAAGGCAGCGAUCAGUAGCUGGUCUGAGAGGACGAUCAGCCACACUGGGACUGAGACACGGCCCAGACUCCUACGGGAGGCAGCAGUGGGGAAUUUUCCGCAAUGGGCGAAAGCCUGACGGAGCAAGACCGCGUGAGGGAGGAAGGCUCUUGGGUUGUAAACCUCUUUUCUCAGGGAAGAAGCUCUGACGGUACCUGAGGAAUCAGCCUCGGCUAACUCCGUGCCAGCAGCCGCGGUAAUACGGAGGAGGCAAGCGUUAUCCGGAAUUAUUGGGCGUAAAGCGUCCGCAGGUGGCGAUUCAAGUCUGCUGUCAAAGCACGGGGCUUAACUCCGUAAAGGCAGUGGAAACUGAAUAGCUAGAGUGCCGCAGGGGUAGAGGGAAUUCCCGGUGUAGCGGUGAAAUGCGUAGAGAUCGGGAAGAACAUCGGUGGCGAAAGCGCUCUACUGGACGGCAACUGACACUCAGGGACGAAAGCUAGGGGAGCGAAUGGGAUUAGAUACCCC